CUGCGCCAGCGAUGGCCGGUUGUCGAGGUGCUGCAUGGUUGUCGUCAGCUCGUGCCGUGAGGUGUCGGGUUAAGGUCCCAUAACGAGCGCAACCCCUACCUGCUAGUUGCCAGCGGGUCAUGCCGGGGACGUCUAGCGGAACUGCCAGCGUAAGCUGCGAGGAAGGUGGGGAGUGACGUCAAAUCAGCACGGCCCUUACGUCCAGGGCUACACACGUGUUACAAUGGCCAGUACAGAGGGCAGCCACCCCGCGAGGGGGCGCUAAUCCUAAAAGCUGGUCCCAGUUCGGAUCGGAGUCUGCAACCCGACUCCGUGAAGCUGGAUUCGCUAGUAAUCGCGCAUCAGCCACGGCGCGGUGAAUACGUUCCCGGGCCUU
rnacentral:rRNA from 1 species